GACGAACGCUGGCGGCGUGCCUAAUACAUGCAAGUCGAACGGUCUUUUCUAUGGAAGCUUGCUUCCACUGAGAAGAUAGUGGCGAACGGGUGAGUAACACGUGGGUAACCUGCCCAUAAGAGGGGGAUAACAUCCGGAAACGGGUGCUAAUACCGCAUAGUUUUCUUGAUCGCAUGAUUGAGAAAGGAAAGACGGCCUUUGUGCUGUCGCUUAUGGAUGGACCCGCGGCGUAUUAGUUAGUUGGUGAGGUAACGGCUCACCAAGACGAUGAUACGUAGCCGACCUGCGAGGGUGAUCGGCCACAUUGGGACUGAGACACGGCCCAAACUCCUACGGGAGGCAGCAGUAGGGAAUCUUCCGCAAUGGACGAAAGUCUGACGGAGCAACGCCGCGUGAGUGAAGAAGGUUUUCGGAUCGUAAAACUCUGUUGUCAGAGAAGAACAAGUCGGAGAGUAACUGCUCCGGCCUUGACGGUAUCUGACCAGAAAGCCACGGCUAACUACGUGCCAGCAGCCGCAGUAACAC
rnacentral:rRNA from 1 species